AACCACAGGCUCCCAAAGAAAAGCAGAAGGCUGGCACCAUAAAGAAGGGUAUGGACAUAUUGUAUUGAUUCAAAGGGAUACACUUACAUAACUUGUUCUUGUUUGAUCUGAACACAUUAUUUUUUAACCCUCAGUUCCAAAGGAAAAGACCAAGGCAGCUGCCCCAAAGAAGGGUAAGAGACUCUCUACAUACCAAAUCAUCCUUCACACUUACUGAAAACAUGUACUGAAUAUAUACUAUUAUGCAAAUGCACUCAACAGUAAGGGUUUCAGUGUUAGAAGUUACCUAAGGUAAAGGUAAUAUAGCUGCUUAGAAGUGUUACACCAAAGCAUACACACAUCAAUAAGAUUUUCUACUGAUAUUUUGUCAAUAAUGUAUUUUUUCCAGAGCCAGAGCCCCCUAAAGAAAAAGUUAAGAAGCAAGGUAACAAUUUGUACAGUUGAACUGUAUCAUUACUUUCUGUAUUUGAAUACAGUUAUUAUCUCUUGCCUUGUAUUCUAGACGCUGUGGUGUCCAAAGAGAAGGUCAAACCAGCUGUUGUAAAGAAAGGUACAGAUUUCGUAGUGCAUUAUUAAUAUCAUACUGCAUGCUUGACUUUUAUUGGAAGAUAUUGAGCAUGAUAUUGUCAUUCCAGAAGCUGUUGUCUCCAAAGAAAAGACAAAACCUACCACAAUGAAGAAAGAGCCAGAGCUCCCUAAAGAAAAAGUUAAGAAGCAAGGUAACAAUUUGUACAGUUGAACUGCAUCAUUGCUUUCUGUAUUUGAAUACAGUUACAUAGUUUAUAUCUCUUGCCUUGUAUUCUAGACGCUGUGGUGUCCAAAGAGAAGGUCAAACCAGCUGUUGUAAAGAAAGAAGCUGUUGUCUCCAAAGAAAAGACAAAACCUAUCACAAUGAAGAAAGAGGUUGUUGUUUCCAAAGAUAAAGCUAAAACAACAGCUACCAAGAAAGAGCCUGUGGAAAAGGACAAAAUAACUCCUACGAAGAAAGAGCCUGCAAUCUUCAAAGAAAAAGUCAAGACAAGCACUACCAAGACAACCACAAGCGCUUCCAAGAAAGUUGUUUCAGAACCCGAGACCCUAAAAGAGAAAGCCACUCCGAGAGUCCCCACUAUGAGGAAAGGGAACCACACUAAUGUAGUGGUGCCAAUGGUAAAAGCCAUGGCUAGAGUUGUCGCUAUAAGACCCAUCCCUACAACAAAAGGUAACCAAACAGCAAUGCAAAAGUUCAUCAAACUAAAUAUAGAUUAUUUUCAGUUAGAUACAAUGACAAUUGUAAACAUGCUGUUUAACUGUUUUAACACUUUUAUCUCCUGCAGUGACAGAGGAGAAGCUAUCCAAAGAACCUGA
rnacentral:lncRNA from 1 species